AGUGAACGCUGGCGGUAGACCUAACACAUGCAAGUCGAACGGCAGCACAGUAAGAGCUUGCUCUUACGGGUGGCGAGUGGCGGACGGGUGAGGAAUACAUCGGAAUCUACUUUUUCGUGGGGGAUAACGUAGGGAAACUUACGCUAAUACCGCAUACGACCUACGGGUGAAAGCAGGGGAUCUUCGGACCUUGCGCGAAUGAAUGAGCCGAUGUCGGAUUAGCUAGUUGGCGGGGUAAAGGCCCACCAAGGCGACGAUCCGUAGCUGGUCUGAGAGGAUGAUCAGCCACACGAGAACUGAGACACGGUCCAGACUCCUACGGGAGGCAGCAGUGGGGAAUAUUGGACAAUGGGCGCAAGCCUGAUACAGCCAGACCGCGUGGGUGAAGAAGGCCUUCGGUUUGUAAAGCCCUUUUGUUGGGAAAGAAAAGCAGCAGGUUAAUACCCCGCUGUUCUGACGGUACCCAAAGAAUAAGCACCGGCUAACUUCGUG
rnacentral:rRNA from 1 species